rnacentral:rRNA from 1 species
UGGGGGGCCUACGGGAGGCAGCAGUGGGGAAUAUUGCACAAUGGGCGAAAGCCUGAUGCAGCAACGCCGCGUGGGGGAUGACGGCCUUCGGGUUGUAAACCUCUUUUGGCAGGGAAGAAGCGAAAGUGACGGUACCUGCAGAAAAAGCACCGGCUAACUACGUGCCAGCAGCCGCGGUAAUACGUAGGGUGCGAGCGUUGUCCGGAAUUAUUGGGCGUAAAGAGCUCGUAGGCGGUUCGUCGCGUCUGCUGUGAAAUCCCGAGGCUCAACCUCGGGCCUGCAGUGGGUACGGGCGAACUAGAGUGCAGUAGGGGAGACUGGAAUUCCUGGUGUAGCGGUGGAAUGCGCAGAUAUCAGGAGGAACACCGAUGGCGAAGGCAGGUCUCUGGGCUGUAACUGACGCUGAGGAGCGAAAGCGUGGGGAGCGAACAGGAUUAGAUACCCUGGUAGUCCACGCCGUAAACGUUGGGCGCUAGAUGUGGGGACCAUUCCACGGUUUCCGUGUCGCAGCUAACGCAUAAGCGCAACGC